UAGAACACGCGCCCAGUUUCAGUUUUUUCGUCCUCUCUCUCUCUCUCUCUCUCUCUCUCUCUCUCUCUCAUCUCUCUCUCUCUCUCUCUAAAGAGUGUAUCUUUCUUCAGGUACUCUGUUUCUUUUCAUGCCUUUUUAAUAUUGUUCAUACAGCUGAUCUCGACUUAUAGAAUUUAUUUUUUUAUUUUUUUCCUGUGGCUUUG
rnacentral:lncRNA from 1 species